AUUUGAAACAAAUAAAAUGAAGAUGCUGAUUGAGAAAUCUUUAUAUAUAUAUAUAUAUAUAUAUAUAUAUAUAUCGUCCAAGUUUAAUUUAUAAUAUUUUAUUUGAAUUCUCUUGUUCUUGGUCGGCUUUGAGGACCAGUGUGACCUCUUUCGAGGGAAAGGAGUCCAUCGAGUCUGCUUCCAUUCACCGGUUCAUCCGCAAAGCAUCUCCUUUCCCUCGAUUCCUUCCUGUUCUCCCGCAGAAAGAUUUCCGACCCCCUCCCAGGUCUCUCGUUCUCGUUAUGGAUGAGGAGUACGACGUCAACGUCCUAGGGACUGGGCUCAAGGAAUGCAUCCUCAGCGGCCUGCCGUCCGUCGAUGGCCUCAAGGAAUGAUUACUAUGGAGGAGAGUCGACCUCACUCAAUCUCAUCCAGCUCUGGAAAAGGUUUAGGGGCAGUGAUAAGCCCCCCAGCACUUUUGGGUUCCAGCAGAGAUUACAAUGUUGACAUGAUUCCAAAGGUAUCUUUUCUGCUGUUCUUAUUCCCACAAUGUUGUCCCAAAAUGGAAGUCCAUUGCUUUUGUCUCAACUGAAGCUGUGACUGACCAUCCAGAUAUAGAACUAAAGCCAGGAAUUGAUCUUCUGGGACGAGUAGAUGAAUUAUUUUUUGAUACUUAUGACGGAAAUGAACCAGUCAACGAACCUUCACUUGAUAAUUGCUUCAUUUCAACUAGCUAUGAUGCUACAACUCAUUUUGAAUCAACUGCUGUGGAUGUUCUUUCUAUGUAUACCAAGAUCACUGGAAGGUUUGCAAUGCUACACGAUUUGCUACCAGGAUGAUCCACUGCUCGAUGAGACUUUUGAUCUCAGCAUUGAUCUAAGUGCUGCUGAAGAAUGAUGACUGCAUCCAGGGUAUAUGACAGGAAAGUUCUCGUCUCAGUAUUUUUCAUCAUAUGAUCAUAUCAAUAUAGCAUUCUAUUUGAAGCUGAAUGGAUCUGCAAUGAUGAUAUGUGCUUCUUGAAUAUAUUCUCCCUGAACAUAGCAUAACUAUUAAGUUAACAUUGUACAUUAAGAUUCAUUGUUUUUUAUGGGUUUCACUGUUGUCAAGGUUGUAUCAGAGAUGGAUUAUGCUUUAGAAGAAUGAUGUUUCUCUCCUGUGUUCGUUGCAUUCUUUGUCCACUCUUUUGUUUCAUUGGUCAAAACAAA